rnacentral:rRNA from 1 species
AACGAACGCUGGCGGCAGGCUUAACACAUGCAAGUCGAACGCCCCGCAAGGGGAGUGGCAGACGGGUGAGUAACGCGUGGGAACAUACCCUUUCCUGCGGAAUAGCUCCGGGAAACUGGAAUUAAUUCCGCAUACGCCCUACGGGGGAAAGAUUUAUCGGGGAAGGAUUGGCCCGCGUUGGAUUAGCUAGUUGGUGGGGUAAAGGCCUACCAAGGCGACGAUCCAUAGCUGGUCUGAGAGGAUGAUCAGCCACAUUGGGACUGAGACACGGCCCAAACUCCUACGGGAGGCAGCAGUGGGGAAUAUUGGACAAUGGGCGCAAGCCUGAUCCAGCCAUGCCGCGUGAGUGAUGAAGGCCUUAGGGUUGUAAAGCUCUUUCACCGAUGAAGAUAAUGACGGUAGUCGGAGAAGAAGCCCCGGCUAACUUCGUG